rnacentral:rRNA from 1 species
CCGAAAGGAGUAACCGAUGGACAGUAGGUCAAAAUUCCUACACCACCUAAUAUUCGUUUUAAUACAAAGGGGGGACACGGAAAGGUAGGCUGAGCGUACCCAUUGGACAUGGUGCGUUCUUCUUUGAAGGCCAUCUCGCAAGACAUGUAAAUCAGUUAGCGAGGUUAUGAGCUGAGGAAGGAGAGAACUCUAGGGCUCGCCCUGGGGAAUUUGGUUGAACCUAUGCCGUCAAGAAAAGCCUCGUUGUAAGGGUAUUGGGUGACCGUACCGUAAACCGACACUGGUAGAUGAGCAUGAAAGUGCUAAGACGGUCGAGAGAACUCUGGUUAAGGAACUCGGCAAAAGGACCCCGUAACUUCGGGAUAAGGGGUUCCCUCGGGGUGAAGUCUAUUUACUAGACCAGCUCUAGAGGGACACAGCAAAUUGGCCCAAGCGACUGUUUAUCAAAAACACAGGUCUCUGCUAAGGGGUAACCCUAGGUAUAGAGGCUGACGCCUGCCCAGUGCCGGAAGGUUAAAGGGAAAGGUUAUCCGUAAGGAGAAGCUUUGAACUGAAGCCCCGGUGAACGGCGGCCGUAACUAUAACGGUCCUAAGGUAGCGAAGUCCCUUGUCGGGUAAGUUCCGACCCGCACGAAUGGCGUAACGACUUGGGCGCUGUCUCAACCAGAGACUCGGCGAAAUUGCAUUGGCCGUGAAGAUGCGGCCUACCCGCGACAGGACAAAAAGACCCCAUGGAGCUUUACUACAGCUUGGCAUUGAAUCGAGGACUGGAAUGUGUAGGAUAGGUGGGAGGCUUUGAAGCUUCGGCGCUAGUCGAAGUGGAGCCGUUGUUGAAAUACCACUCUUUUCUGUUGUUGAUUCUAACCUGUGAUAGGCACAGGGACCGUGUCUGGUGGGUAGUUUGACUGGGGCGGUCGCCUCCCAAAGAGUAACGGAGGCGCACAAAGGUUCGCUCAGGACGGAUGGAAAUCGUCCGAAGAGUGCAUUGGCAUAAGCGAGCUUGACUGUGAGACCUACAAGUCGAGCAGGUGCGAAAGCAGGUCAAAGUGAUCCUACGGUUCCGCAUGGAAGGGCCGUGGCUUAACGGAUAAAAGCUACCCUGGGGAUAACAGGCUUAUCUUGCCCAAGAGUUCACAUCGACGGCAAGGUUUGGCACCUCGAUGUCGGCUCGUCGCAUCCUGGGG